rnacentral:rRNA from 1 species
UAGGGAAUCUUCCACAAUGGACGCAAGUCUGAUGGAGCAACGCCGCGUGAGUGAAGAAGGUUUUCGGACCGUAAAGCUCUGUUGUUGGUGAAGAAGGAUAGAGGUAGUAACUGGCCUUUAUUUGACGGUAAUCAACCAGAAAGUCACGGCUAACUACGUGCCAGCAGCCGCGGUAAUACGUAGGUGGCAAGCGUUGUCCGGAUUUAUUGGGCGUAAAGCGAGCGCAGGCGGAAGAAUAAGUCUGAUGUGAAAGCCCUCGGCUUAACCGAGGAAUUGCAUCGGAAACUGUUUUCUUGAGUGCAGAAGAGGAGAGUAG